rnacentral:rRNA from 1 species
CCAGACUCCUACGGGAGGCAGCAGUGAGGAAUAUUGGUCAAUGGGCGCGAGCCUGAACCAGCCAAGUCGCGUGAGGGAUGACGGUCCUACGGAUUGUAAACCUCUUUUGCCGGGGAGCAAGCGUGCGUUCGUGAACGCGCGUCGAGAGUACCCGGAGAAAAAGCAUCGGCUAACUCCGUGCCAGCAGCCGCGGUAAUACGGAGGAUCCGAGCGUUAUCCGGAUUUAUUGGGUUUAAAGGGAGCGUAGGCGGGUUGUUAAGUCAGUUGUGAAAGUUUGCGGCUCAACCGUAAAAUUGCAGUUGAUACUGGCAUCCUUGAGUACAGUAGAGGUAGGCGGAAUUCGUGGUGUAGCGGUGAAAUGCUUAGAUAUCACGAAGAACUCCGAUUGCGAAGGCAGCCUGCUGGACUGUAACUGACGCUGAUGCUCGAAAGUGUGGGUAUCAAACAGGAUUAGAUACCCCAGUA